rnacentral:rRNA from 1 species
UACGAAGGGUGCAAGCGUUACUCGGAAUUACUGGGCGUAAAGCGUGCGUAGGUGGUUCGUUAAGUCUGUCGUGAAAGCCCCGGGCUCAACCUGGGAAUGGCGAUGGAUACUGGCGGGCUAGAGUGCGGUAGAGGAGAGUGGAAUUCCCGGUGUAGCAGUGAAAUGCGUAGAUAUCUGGAGGAACACCGGUGGCGAAGGCGGCAUCCUGGACCAAUUCUGACGCUGAGGAGCGAAAGCCAGGGGAGCAAACGGG